UACGAAGGGGGCUAGCGUUGCUCGGAAUCACUGGGCGUAAAGCGCACGUAGGCGGAUUGCUAAGUCAGGGGUGAAAUCCUGGAGCUCAACUCCAGAACUGCCUUUGAUACUGGCGACCUUGAGUCCGGGAGAGGUGAGUGGAACUGCGAGUGUAGAGGUGAAAUUCGUAGAUAUUCGCAAGAACACCAGUGGCGAAGGCGCUCACUGGCCCGGUACUGACGCUGAGGUGCGAAAAGCGUGGGGAGCAAACAGG
rnacentral:rRNA from 1 species